UAAUUCAAUUGGACUUGAUCCAAAAAUAAUUACUCAAUCAAAUUGAGUUAAUUAGUGAUCAAAUCAUUAAUUAAAUCUCUCAAAAAUACUGAGUCCAAAUGCGAUGGGCAAUCGGACAUCAAACUCCAUCGAUAUGAAACCUUGAUCGAAAAGUCCCAAACUAGUGGGACUCUUGACUCUGGUACCGAAAAUAUGUGGAACUCGUGAUCAGAGAAUCUUGAUUCUCAAUCAUAGAGUCCCCGAGCAUUUGGACUCUUGGUCGAAGAGUCUCAGUCUAGUGGGACUUUUCACCAGCCA
rnacentral:lncRNA from 1 species